rnacentral:tRNA from 1 species
GAGGCUUUAGUAUAAUGAGUAUAAUUUAUUUUCAAUAAAUAGGUUUGAUAAGUCUUA